GCCUGGAUAGCUCAGUUGGUUAGAGUAUGGUGCUGAUAACGCCAAGGUUGCGGGUUCGAUGGGACAGCUGAAUAUUCCUGCCUUGCAGGGGGUUAGACU
rnacentral:tRNA from 1 species